rnacentral:rRNA from 1 species
CCUACGGGAGGCUGCAGUGAGGAAUAUUGGUCAAUGGACGCAAGUCUGAACCAGCCAUGCCGCGUGCAGGAUGACGGCUCUAUGAGUUGUAAACUGCUUUUGUACGAGGGUAAACCCCGAUACGUGUAUCGUGUUGAACGUAUCGUACGAAUAAGGAUCGGCUAACUCCGUGCCAGCAGCCGCGGUAAUACGGAGGAUCCGAGCGUUAUCCGGAUUUAUUGGGUUUAAAGGGUGCGUAGGCGGUUUGAUAAGUUAGAGGUGAAAUGUCGGGGCUCAACCCCGAAACUGCCUCUAAUACUGUUGGACUAGAGAAUAGUUGCGGUAGGCGGAAUGUAUGGUGUAGCGGUGAAAUGCUUAGAGAUCAUACAGAACACCGAUUGCGAAGGCAGCUUACCAAACUAUAUCUGACGUUGAGGCACGAAAGCGUGGGUAGCAAACAGGAUUAGAUACCCCAGUAGUC